rnacentral:rRNA from 1 species
AGAACGAACGCUGGCGGCAGGCUUAACACAUGCAAGUCGAGCGCCCCGCAAGGGGAGCGGCAGACGGGUGAGUAACGCGUGGGAAUCUACCCAAUCCUUCGGAAUAGCUCCGGGAAACUGGAAUUAAUACCGAGUACGCCCUACGGGGGAAAGAUUUAUCGGGGUUGGAUGAGCCCGCGUUGGAUUAGCUAGUUGGUGGGGUAAUGGCCUACCAAGGCGACGAUCCAUAGCUGGUCUGAGAGGAUGAUCAGCCACACUGGGACUGAGACACGGCCCAGACUCCUACGGGAGGCAGCAGUGGGGAAUAUUGGACAAUGGGCGCAAGCCUGAUCCAGCCAUGCCGCGUGAGUGAUGAAGGCCCUAGGGUUGUAAAGCUCUUUCAGUGGGGAAGAUAAUGACGGUACCACAGAAGAAGCCCGGCUAACUCGUGCCAGCAGCCGC